GACGAACGCUGGCGGCGUGCUUAACACAUGCAAGUCGAACGGAAAGGCCCUGAUUGCAGGGUACUCGAGUGGCGAACGGGUGAGUAACAAGUGGGUGAUCUGCCCUGCACUUCGGGAUAAGCCUGGGAAACUGGGUCUAAUACCGGACAGGAGACAUUUUUAGUGUGAUGGUUGGAAAGUGUAUUCGGUGUAGGAUGAGCUCGCGGCCUAUCAGCUUGUUGGUGGGGCAAUGGCCUACCAAGGCGGCGACGGGUAGCCGGCCUGAGAGGGUGGACGGCGACAUUGGGACUGAGGUACGGCCCAGACUCCUACGGGAGGCAGCAGUGGGGAAUAUUGCACGAUGGGCGCAAGCCUGAUGCAGCGACGCCGCGUGGGGGAUGACGGCCUUCGGGUUGUAAACUCCUUUCGCUAGGGACGAAGCUUUUUGUGACGGUACCUAGAUAAGAAGCACCGGCUAACUACGUG
rnacentral:rRNA from 1 species